UUCUGUGGAAAGCAGCAUUUCCUGAAGGAAGCAGUCGCUCUUUGUUGCCAGCCCCUGCCACAGGAAAGGAGGAGAUGCCAGACACAGGCACAGGCACAGAAGACUGGGAUACUGGGAAGGCUUCUCCAUUAACCUGGAGGUUUGAAAUUGUGAAGCCCACUGAGGGUUCUGCAGUUACAGAUGUGACUGCAGGGACAACUUCACCAACUCCUGGGCUGGAUAAUGAGCACCAAACCAGCUCCCAUCACCGGGGUGAGUAGUGUGUCCCUGCUGGCCCCACAGGCUGAGCUCUGCAUUUGUGGCAUCCAUUCAUGGGAAAUGGAACUACUUUCUGUCAAGAUCCUCCAACAGUA